rnacentral:rRNA from 1 species
AACGAACGCUGGCGGCAUGCCUAACACAUGCAAGUCGAACGAGACCUUCGGGUCUAGUGGCGCACGGGUGCGUAACGCGUGGGAACCUGCCCUUAGGUUCGGAAUAACUCCCCGAAAGGGGUGCUAAUACCGGAUAAUGUCUUCGGACCAAAGAUUUGUCGCCUUUGGAUGGGCCCGCGUUGGAUUAGCUAGUUGGUAGGGUAAAAGCCUACCAAGGCGACGAUCCAUAGCUGGUCUGAGAGGAUGAUCAGCCACACUGGGACUGAGACACGGCCCAGACUCCUACGGGAGGCAGCAGUGGGGAAUAUUGGACAAUGGGCGAAAGCCUGAUCCAGCAAUGCCGCGUGAGUGAUGAAGGCCUUAGGGUUGUAAAGCUCUUUUACCCGGGAUGAUAAUGACAGUACCGGGAGAAUAAGCGCCGGCUAACUCCGUG